GACGAACGCUGGCGGCGUGCUUAACACAUGCAAGUCGGACGGCAAGGCCCUGCUUUUGCGGGGUGCUCGAGUGGCGAACGGGUGAGUAACACGUGAGUAACCUGCCCUUGACUUUGGGAUAACUUCAAGAAACUGGGGCUAAUACCGGAUAGGAGCUCCUGCUGCAUGGUGGGGGAGGGAAAGUUGCGGCGGUUGGGGCUGGACUCGCGGCUUAUCAGCUUGUUGGUGGGGUAGUGGCUUACCAAGGCUUUGACGGGUAGCCGGCCUGAGAGGGUGACCGGCCACAUUGGGACUGAGAUACGGCCCAGACUCCUACGGGAGGCAGCAGUGGGGAAUAUUGCAAGAUGGGCGGAAGCCUGAUGCAGCAACGCCGCGUGCGGGAUGACGGCCUUCGGGUUGUAACCCGCUUUCGCCUGUGACGAAGCGUGAGUGACGGUAAUGGGUAAAGAAGCACCGGCUAACUACGUG
rnacentral:rRNA from 1 species